UAAACGGGGCUGCCUGGGACCCCCCAGCCCCGAGCCUCUUCCCACAUGGGGGAAGGCCCUCUCCAUGUUCUGCCUUGCAGUCUAGACUCCUGGGGACAGGAAGAGAGACAUCACACCCAUCUGGUGUCCCAGUGGUCCCACCUGAGGCUGGUUUUCGUACCUAUUUUACAGGUUUGACUUUGGAACCUUAUUAUUUUCACUAAUGUAAAAGGAAGCAUGUGCAAAAGAAAAAAGCAAUCCCGAAAAACGGAAAGCAACUGAAAACAAACACAUGUGAUCGUAUAUCAAGAUUUCUUCCACGGGACCACAGAGGCCAAGCCAUAAAGGGAGAACUUGAAAGACGGCUUCAUCAAAGCACCCGCUCUUGAAAAGACACCGCAGGGAAAGAAAAAAACGCUCAGCCACGGGCAGUACCGGCAGCACAGAUACACAAAUGUAAGGAGCGCAGACAGCACCGCAGCCGGCCCUGGGCUCCUCAGCGCCACCUGCUGGCCACGGCUCUUCCACAGGUCGAGCUGUUCCCGCAGGGGAUUGGGACGGAGAUUUGGUGUGCGCCCCUAGGCUGCACAUCUUCCUCCUGAUCAACAUCGACUUCCUCCGAAGCCCUCAGCGCCUCUCAGGAUGCCAGCCCAGCGCCUCUCAGGAUGCCAGCCCAGCACCUCUCAGGAUGCCAGCCGUGAGCUGUGGCGUCCACACCGAAGAUUCUUGAAGCCUCCAGUUCGGCGUUCCUGCCUACGUCCCCGGUCCCUUUUGCCCCCACUUGGUGACAGCCCACCAUCACCUCUUCUCUUCUUCGGGGCGGGGUGGGGGGCUUGUCCUCUGGAGCCUGUACGCACCCCUGUACUUACUGGGGGCUGCGAUUUGAUGCCUGCUGCAUCCCUUAGCACCCGGCAUGCAGAAGGUGCUCAAUCAAUACAGGCUGAAUGUGCACACGAAUGAGUGAGUGCGUGAGUGA